AUGACUAAGUUGGUGUGUGUGUGUGUGUGUGUGUGUGUGUGUGUGUGUGCGCCCGUGCCCACACAUGUUGCGUGUAUUCUUAAAGUGCGGAGGAGCUUCUGGGGCCACUUGUUAUCUCUCCUAGAGGUAAUUCUAGAUCCCGUCAAUUUUUACAGGCUUUUUCAGUCGUGCUUCUUCCCGAAGCCGGCUCUGGUGUCAAGCAGUCAUGGAGAAAGGACACGGAGAAGUCGGUCCCAGCGCGCCCUCGCAGAGCAUCAAGAAGGCAGAUACGCACCGUUGGGCGCGUGGGCACCUAUCUCUCCCCGGGAUCUCAGAAGGAUCUUGGGCUGUGGAUGUCAGCAGCUCUGUUCUUGCCGUCCGGUCAAGAGGGGCCCAAGCUGCAACGUCUGACGUCCUGUGUGAGGGGCUCCUGAGAGUGCAGAGUGUGCCAGGAACCUCCUCUCCUGGUCUCCCAUGGCAGCUGGAACUGUAUUUAUAUCCUUGUUAUUAACCUCUCUUAGGCUGCUCCUUCCCCCACCCCGGCGCAUCCAUGACCACCCCUGGCCUAGCAUCCUCCUAGUGUGUGCUUCCUGGCCCAGGGGUCUCAGAAAGGCUGUUCUCCGUGGUGACUCCAUUAGGUCCCCAGCACAGUCCCAUGUGGCCACCGCGGCCCUCUUCAGCUUUGAUGGGAGUCCAGCUAUGAAUCUCUGUCAUGGUUCAGAUUAGGCUUUCAGUGUCCAGCUCCCUUGUUUGUUGUUUUUCUGUCUCCAGUACCACCAGUCAUCGACUGUCGGCAAAAUGCCUAAGAGCUAUCACAACUUCAGGCUGCAGUUGUAAAUGACUGGGGAGUCCUAGUGGCUCAGAGGGCCCCAGAUGCUUGCCUCUGAAUGAACUCUAAAAGAGCUGCUCCCUUUAAAAGAGAUCUAGUGCAAUCCCUGUUUACAGUAAGACAGGCUAAGGGACCAUGACCAGCCCAGGGGCACUCAAAGCAAAUUUGAGAGGGGCAAGUGUCUUCAACGUAUCACUGCCUCUCCGUUAGGGACCCCCAUCCGCCCCCAUCUGUGCCCUAGGCCCAGAUAUUCUGUUCGCCUCUUUAGAGAGCCACAUUUCCCAAACUCUUUCAGGGAGUACUGGAUCUAGGAGAUAUGAGUAACUGUGCUGUAAACAAAGUACUCCCUUGACCAGUAUGUCUGGGAAAGUCUACACCAUGUUAUAUACUUAUACAGGUGAUGCACAGUAUCCACCAGCACUGAAAUCUUCAAGAAGACUUCUUUACUCCUCUGCCUCUCCUACUCUUCCCCUUCCUCUUCUUUUUCCCCUCCUCUUUCCUCCCAUCUUCUCCCUCUUACCCACCCUCUUCUCUCUCCCCAAGAAGAUCUCUGGAUACAGAUGCUUACACAAGAUGAUUGUGGCCAAAGGACAGACUCAUUCCCUUUGCUUUCUUGUCUUCCUUGGUGUUUGAAUGUUGGCCAUUGGAUUACUGGUCCUGGCUGGCUGUGAGCACAUACCAGCAUCUGAUUCUGGUGUCUGUGGUUGCUGUUGUGGCUCCCAAUAAGGAGAGCUGUCCAUCUUGGGCCAUCCGCUUCCCUACCCCACGCCUCUUCUUGUUGACCCAGGCUCCCCUGGGCGUCUCUAUGGAAUCUUUCUGAGGCCUGCAGCGGGAAUCGUUCAUGCUACAAAUGAGCCAUGCGGAACCCAGGGAAAUAAUCUCAGGCCUCUCCUAAGUGCCAGGCUGGCAUUUCUGGCCUCCUCUUGCCUCCUUCUGUUGGUGUGGGGGCACUGAGAGGGUGUCUCCCUCCCAGAGCUCCAGGUAGAAUUUGGGGCCAGGUGCCAUUCUGCUCUAGGGUUUCCAACCUGUCUUGAAUGUCUGUCCUGUUCAUGUUUCCUAUCCUGAUACUCUCCCCUUCCUUUCCAAGUCUCUCAACACGUAGCCUUUUCUCUCCAGUACCAUUGCAUACAGUUAUAUAGGUGUGUGUACCUGGGGACAACCUCCUGGGAGAGCCUGGAGGUCGAGGAGGGAUGUGACGGGAGCCACAAAGCCACCAGGAGAGGAGUCAGGCAGAACUGGGAAAGCCGCGGGCUUGGGUGGCGGAGCGAGGCAACGGGGUAGGGAUGUGGGUCAAGCAGGUCUACACCCCUGCAGUGCCCCUGCUGGGGAGCUCCUCAGGAGAAGGGGACUGAAAUCCAGAGGGAACGAGUGGAGCAGAGAGAGAGGCGGCAUUCACAGCACUAAGGUUGCCAAGCAGAAAGCAAAUUCUCCCUAUGUUUAAAAUGUCUUGGGGCGCCUGGGUGGCGCAGCCGGUUAAGCGACCGACUUCAGCCAGGUCACGAUCUUGCGGUCCGUGAGUUCGAGCCCCGCGUCAGGCUCUGGGCUGAUGGCUCAGAGCCUGGAGCCUGUUUCCGAUUCUGUGUCUCCCUCUCUCUCUGCCCCUCCCCUGUUCAUGCUCUGUCUCUCUCUGUCCCAAAAAUAAAUAAACGUUGAAAAAAAAUUAAAAAAAAUGU
ensembl:lncRNA